CAUUGGGAAAGGGCAAAGCCACGAGUCUCUCCAACUGCUCGGGCUGGCUUCCCUUUGCAAUUUUUCUCUCGCGCUGCUCCGCUCCAGAUCGGCGCAUCCCUUGCCAACAGCGAGCGCGGCUGCCAAGGAGACUUUAGCGAAGAGGAAAGAGCGGGACUGAACUUCCUCCAGCUUGGUAGAACAACGCACCCCUCGGGUCCCGCGCCCCACCCCGAGGCCGGAGAAGAGACCCCCGAGGCCGGAGGUCAGGUGUCGGGCGGGAGCGGCCGGGCGGCAAGUCGCUGGGCGGGAGGGCUCCUUCGGCUUGGGACGCUUCUUCCACUCCGCAGGCAUCGGGGGGAGAGAGAGAGAGAGCAGGGACAGGCGAGCGGGGCUGGGGGUCCCCACUAAGAGACAAAGAAAGAAAGGGAGGCGCCGGGAAGAUGAAGCGGGAGAGUCCCGAUAAUUUAUCUGCAAAGAGUUUGUUCUCUGGAGCCAACUGGUCAGAUUUGGUUGUGUUCAGACACAGCGACACCUGGACCGGUGCUCAGCCAGACAGGAGGCAGGAUUCCAGAUAGGUCAAGGUCCUGCAGCCUCUGUUAGAAGGGAGAACCCAUAUGCCCAUAUGCCCUUUGCAAACCAGCCAUGGUGAGGCCCUGGGAUCCAGAAGUUUCAGUUUGGAGACUUCUGGCCUGUCCCACUCAACACAUUAGUCUGGGCAAUCCACCCAAGGCCUCCUUGCCCAGAUAUAAUAACAUUUGUCCACCCUCUGACCAAGUUGCUGGAAAGAGCAUAAAAGAAAAAACGACAAUACCGUAUGCCUGUUUUUUAAAAAAUAAACAGUGACGAUUGAGCACAACUCUGAUUAAAAUAGAUCCCUGCCUUGUGCAGCUUAUGAUUUAAUGAUGGGAAAGAAUUAUUCCAGUUCUCAGAUGUGUAAAUUCAAGUUUUGAGGGAUUCAGUUGAAAACUAAGAUGUUGACUUCUCAGAAAAGAAGUCAGCAAAGUAGAUGCUGCUGAAAAAGGACCAAACAGUUCUGAAUUUCUAAAGUAAAACAAUACAAAAUUAAUAUACCGGUACGUAUAUAAUGAAACCACUGAAGCCCUCCGUAGAGCUUUAACAUUCUGAGCAACCACUGGGAGUAAAAAGGUUCCCUGAAAGUAAAAAAAUGAUUAAAAGCUGUCAUAAAAGUGUUUAAGGAGAUGGUAGGACUAGGGAGACCCUGAUAUAUGAGACUCGCUAGGUGACUGAAAUAUAUUUUGCAUAUGCUCAGAAGAACACAUUCAAAAGGAGUGUCCCUACAAGUUCUAAAAAGUAGGCAAGACAUAUUAAUUACACUUGUGGUGACUGAAAUGUGUUUGUAUGUACUCUUAGCAUAAAUUGACACAUUUUGUGGUCUGCUUUGUUAAAGAAAACUUGUGACAAACAAAAGUUUGGCAGAGAAGUCCACAAUCUGGGUGCCAUCACCAUCUCGGUCCUGCUUCUUCUCAUAUCACCCAAUGUUCUCUGGGUAGUGGAGGCACCUAGGACAACAGCCAAAAAUAUCUACCUUCUUCUCGACAAAAUAGAUACUGUAUGUUGGGAGGAAGACAUGGUGCAUUUGAGGAUUUUAGGAGCCCUCCUUUCCAAGGAUAUGGAUUUCCUUCCCUACCACCUAAGAAGCCCUUUAUUUUAUUGACUUCUGAUGCCAGAAAGCGAUGCCUUUUCCAGCACUGGCAGCAAAUUCACUGGCCCACUGCCAUUGUUUUCAGAAAGAAUGUCAACGUUUGGAAGGCACUAAGCAAAUCUGUUUGAUUAGAUCAAAAAAUAUUCAGUCUGGUGCCGUAAACAAGAAAAAUUGAGCUUUGCUGCCAAAGAAGGGCAUUUAGAGUGUACUUCCCCAGCCCAGAAGAAGAAGGGAGGGAGAACUUCCAAAUUAAUGGGGAGCACAAUAUUAUGAUGUCUCUUGGAGGAAAGCAGUGCCGGCAUCAGAAUUCUGUGUGAAUUGACAGAAAUGAAGAAAUCAUAAUUUAGUAGGAUUUAAUUUAUAUCACAGUGUUGAGAAGAUGACAUUUUAAAUGCUUUCUAAAAGGGAAUUUGCUGAUGUGGCUUCUUUGCCUGGGAAGCCAAGUUGGUUCAUAUUGACUAUAGUCCAAUGAUUAAGCAUAUGUUUUGAAUGCAAGAGAUCACAAGUUCCCAAGGUCAUCGUGUCUCUAUAUGAAGGAUUCUAUUUGGAACCUAGUGUCACAAGAUCCAGUGUUGACUGCUUGCUUGCUUGCUUAGAAAAAGGGGACUGAGCCAAUUUAUGGAGGAAGAGAAGAUUAUAUAUGGACAUACAUAGUGAAAUGCCAUGAUUAUGGGCAGCAUUGUUUCUGGGCAUCCAGCUGAGAAGAAGCUGGGUAUCCAGCAAUAGAAAGUUCUAUUGAGGGCCUUCCUGGAGGCAUCAGAUCAAUGACUAUGAGAAAUAUAGUCUCUAGAAAUAUAUCCCUAAUCCAACAGGGAUCUUCUGAGAUUUUGAUAAUAGAUAUCAAGGGGCAGUACAAAAUAUUGUAGAUCAGUGUUGUCCAUAUCUUUUGGGACCAAAUGUUUUCCAUAUCUUUUGGGACCAAAAUAUUGUAGAUCAGUGUGGUCCAUAUCUUUUGGGACCAAAUGUUUUCCAUAUCUUUUGGGACCAAAAUAUUGUAGAGCUACACUGAUCUACAAUAUUUUGUACUGCCCCUGGGAUCUAUUAUUAAAAUCUCAGGAGAUCCCUGUUGGACCAGGGAUAUAUUUCUAGAGACUAUGGGCACAUUUGGAAUUUUGAAGGUGUUAUAAGCACUCUCACAAAAAUGUUGUCCUGGUGAGCGUGACUGAUUCCUGGGUCCUCAAAGUAUCCAUGAACUCUUUCUUGCACUGUGGGGUUCCAUGCCCUACCUACUGGCAGCUUCCAUUGCUAUUAUUCCUUGUAGGUAAGGCGGUCCAUUGAUCACGCAUGGGUUCUCCAGACUCCAAAGCCAGCUCUUCCACCCCUCCCUGCUUAUUCAAGUGAAGGUUAUUUCAGGGGGACUUUUCAGGAUGCCACCAGAAACCCAGAACAGUGUUUCAAGGACGUUGACAAACACUUUCAACAUUUCCUACACACAUCAUUGUGUGCACCACAAUACUGUUUUGACAAGACCUUGUUCAACACAGAUAGUACCUGCCAGCCAACAGAAUUCACAUUAGCCAAGAAGUCUCACAAUAGCUGGAUUAGGGAGAAGCUCAGUGGAUCUGAAUGAAUGCCAGAGCACAUAACUCUGGUUAAAAAAACAAGAAAAGGGGAAAAAAAUGGCAGGACUGAUGAUUGAGAAAUUGCCUCUGAGCAUGUACAGGGACUGUGUUUUUCUUCUCUGCUCAAUCUAAGCCAAUUUCAGCCAUGCUGCAAGAUGUCAAAGCCACAACAUGAUUCCAGCACAUCAAAGCCUCUUGCAUUAAAGUUCUUCAAAACUUUCGACUUUUCUCUGGGAGCUCAAGACAGCUCAUUGGGCAUUUUCUCCUCAUUCUGUCUCCUCGACCUGACCCAUAAUCCGAUUAGAAAAACCAUUCCUAUACUUGUUGUGCCUGGAGAAGGUUCGAACAAACAACGGGACGGUUUGUUGAACUCAAAAGAAAAAGGAGAUUAUACAGGUGAAGAUUCAUUUCAUAGCAACAGAAUGGUUGUGUUUGCCAUUGUAUUCCGUUUUUUUUUUUUUAAAAAAAAUCCUUGUCUACUUAGAACCUUAGGAUUUCUUAGUGGCACUCUAUUCAAAACUAACCAAGUUUGCAGUUUUUUUUUCCUUCUGAGAUCAGCAAAGGUUGGUUUGAUGCUGCCAUCUGCUGUUAUAAAGGAAGCAGCUCCUUAGGUGGGGCUGCUUCAAAGAAGUGCAGACAGGUACAGUAUUAUGUUCAUGCUACUGUGUUCUCUAAACAGUAUUUAUCAAGCUUGGCAUCCUUAAGAUGCGUGGACUUCAACUCCCAGAAUUCCCCUGCCAUCAUCAGCCAGCCCUCCCAGUUAGUGUCAUCUAUAAAGUUUUUCAGUGUCUCUUCAAGUUCCUUAUUCAGGUCAUUGGUUAAAAAAGCACAAAGCCCAGGACUUAGCUCUGUGUAUCUGUAGUUUAUCCAGAUCAUAUAUAUCUGGAUCCAGCAUAUCCAGAUCAUCUUGACUUGAAUGAGGUCAUCUCCUUCUCCAGAGCAAUACUCCACAUUUUUCCUAUCUUUUGAUGUGAAAGCUGUGCCCACAGAGACCCAACAGUGAGUGUUUCAAUCUUGGCAACUUUAAGAUGUGUGGAUUUCAACUCCCCAAACUCCCCAGCCAGCUCAAUACUGGGAGUAGAAGUCCACAUCUCUUAAAGUUGCCGAAGUUGAGAAACAAUAUUCUAAAGCACCGUUUUGAAAUCAGAUUUGAAAUCCUACACACAUGCCUACUGCACGUUUGCAAAAUUUUCUACACUGGACUGGCCUCCUUGUAAUGUACCUGGGAGCAAUUCUAUUAUUUCUGCAACAGAAUAGAAUAAAUUCUUUAUCAGCCAAAUGUGAUUGGAUACACAAGGAAUUUGUCUCUGGUGCAUAAGCUCUCAGUUUACAUACAAGUUUACAUACGAGCAACAUGUGAUCAUAAUCAUAAUACAACCAUCAUAAAUCAUAAGAUACAACACUCAGUGAUUGUCGUAAGAUACUAAAUAAAAGCAAUCAGCAUAAAUUAUAAGAUACAAACAGUAAGUGAUGGUAAGAUGCUAAAGGAAUACAGUGAGGGGGUGAAAGUAUUUGGUCCCCUGCUGAUUUUGUAUGUUUGCCCACUGACAAAGAAAUGAUCAGUCUGUAAUUUUAAUGGUAGGUUUAUUUUAACAGUGAGAGACAGAAUAACAACAAAAAAGUUGAGAAAAACACAUUUCA